GAGAAAAGUGACCUGACAGAAGUGGCAUAUACUUUGGAUGAAGGUUGGAGAUAAUGGUUUUCAAUUCUCCAUGCCUCUCAAUUUCCUUGGUGGAAGAAGCCCUCAACAAAUUGCUACAUU